GGGUUGUGAGGUUAAGCGACUAAGCGUACACGGUGGAUGCCCUGGCAGUCAGAGGCGAUGAAGGACGUGCUAAUCUGCGAUAAGCGUCGGUAAGGUGAUAUGAACCGUUAUAACCGGCGAUUUCCGAAUGGGGAAACCCAGUGUGUUUCGACACACUAUCAUUAACUGAAUCCAUAGGUUAAUGAGGCGAACCGGGGGAACUGAAACAUCUAAGUACCCCGAGGAAAAGAAAUCAACCGAGAUUCCCCCAGUAGCGGCGAGCGAACGGGGAGCAGCCCAGAGCCUGAAUCAGUAUGUGUGUUAGUGGAAGCGUCUGGAAAGGCGCGCGAUACAGGGUGACAGCCCCGUACACAAAAAUGCACAUAUUGUGAGCUCGAUGAGUAGGGCGGGACACGUGGUAUCCUGUCUGAAUAUGGGGGGACCAUCCUCCAAGGCUAAAUACUCCUGACUGACCGAUAGUGAACCAGUACCGUGAGGGAAAGGCGAAAAGAACCCCGGCGAGGGGAGUGAAAAAGAACCUGAAACCGUGUACGUACAAGCAGUGGGAGCACGCUUAGGCGUGUGACUGCGUACCUUUUGUAUAAUGGGUCAGCGACUUAUAUUCUGUAGCAAGGUUAACCGAAUAGGGGAGCCGAAGGGAAACCGAGUCUUAACUGGGCGUUAAGUUGCAGGGUAUAGACCCGAAACCCGGUGAUCUAGCCAUGGGCAGGUUGAAGGUUGGGUAACACUAACUGGAGGACCGAACCGACUAAUGUUGAAAAAUUAGCGGAUGACUUGUGGCUGGGGGUGAAAGGCCAAUCAAACCGGGAGAUAGCUGGUUCUCCCCGAAAGCUAUUUAGGUAGCGCCUCGUGAAUUCAUCUCCGGGGGUAGAGCACUGUUUCGGCAAGGGGGUCAUCCCGACUUACCAACCCGAUGCAAACUGCGAAUACCGGAGAAUGUUAUCACGGGAGACACACGGCGGGUGCUAACGUCCGUCGUGAAGAGGGAAACAACCCAGACCGCCAGCUAAGGUCCCAAAGUCAUGGUUAAGUGGGAAACGAUGUGGGAAGGCCCAGACAGCCAGGAUGUUGGCUUAGAAGCAGCCAUCAUUUAAAGAAAGCGUAAUAGCUCACUGGUCGAGUCGGCCUGCGCGGAAGAUGUAACGGGGCUAAACCAUGCACCGAAGCUGCGGCAGCGACACUAUGUGUUGUUGGGUAGGGGAGCGUUCUGUAAGCCUGUGAAGGUGUGCUGUGAGGCAUGCUGGAGGUAUCAGAAGUGCGAAUGCUGACAUAAGUAACGAUAAAGCGGGUGAAAAGCCCGCUCGCCGGAAGACCAAGGGUUCCUGUCCAACGUUAAUCGGGGCAGGGUGAGUCGACCCCUAAGGCGAGGCCGAAAGGCGUAGUCGAUGGGAAACAGGUUAAUAUUCCUGUACUUGGUGUUACUGCGAAGGGGGGACGGAGAAGGCUAUGUUGGCCGGGCGACGGUUGUCCCGGUUUAAGCGUGUAGGCUGGUUUUCCAGGCAAAUCCGGAAAAUCAAGGCUGAGGCGUGAUGACGAGGCACUACGGUGCUGAAGCAACAAAUGCCCUGCUUCCAGGAAAAGCCUCUAAGCAUCAGGUAACAUCAAAUCGUACCCCAAACCGACACAGGUGGUCAGGUAGAGAAUACCAAGGCGCUUGAGAGAACUCGGGUGAAGGAACUAGGCAAAAUGGUGCCGUAACUUCGGGAGAAGGCACGCUGAUAUGUAGGUGAAGUCCCUCGCGGAUGGAGCUGAAAUCAGUCGAAGAUACCAGCUGGCUGCAACUGUUUAUUAAAAACACAGCACUGUGCAAACACGAAAGUGGACGUAUACGGUGUGACGCCUGCCCGGUGCCGGAAGGUUAAUUGAUGGGGUUAGCCGCAAGGCGAAGCUCUUGAUCGAAGCCCCGGUAAACGGCGGCCGUAACUAUAACGGUCCUAAGGUAGCGAAAUUCCUUGUCGGGUAAGUUCCGACCUGCACGAAUGGCGUAAUGAUGGCCAGGCUGUCUCCACCCGAGACUCAGUGAAAUUGAACUCGCUGUGAAGAUGCAGUGUACCCGCGGCAAGACGGAAAGACCCCGUGAACCUUUACUAUAGCUUGACACUGAACAUUGAGCCUUGAUGUGUAGGAUAGGUGGGAGGCUUUGAAGUGUGGACGCCAGUCUGCAUGGAGCCGACCUUGAAAUACCACCCUUUAAUGUUUGAUGUUCUAACGUUGACCCGUAAUCCGGGUUGCGGACAGUGUCUGGUGGGUAGUUUGACUGGGGCGGUCUCCUCCUAAAGAGUAACGGAGGAGCACGAAGGUUGGCUAAUCCUGGUCGGACAUCAGGAGGUUAGUGCAAUGGCAUAAGCCAGCUUGACUGCGAGCGUGACGGCGCGAGCAGGUGCGAAAGCAGGUCAUAGUGAUCCGGUGGUUCUGAAUGGAAGGGCCAUCGCUCAACGGAUAAAAGGUACUCCGGGGAUAACAGGCUGAUACCGCCCAAGAGUUCAUAUCGACGGCGGUGUUUGGCACCUCGAUGUCGGCUCAUCACAUCCUGGGGCUGAAGUAGGUCCCAAGGGUAUGGCUGUUCGCCAUUUAAAGUGGUACGCGAGCUGGGUUUAGAACGUCGUGAGACAGUUCGGUCCCUAUCUGCCGUGGGCGCUGGAGAACUGAGGGGGGCUGCUCCUAGUACGAGAGGACCGGAGUGGACGCAUCACUGGUGUUCGGGUUGUCAUGCCAAUGGCACUGCCCGGUAGCUAAAUGCGGAAGAGAUAAGUGCUGAAAGCAUCUAAGCACGAAACUUGCCCCGAGAUGAGUUCUCCCUGACUCCUUGAGAGUCCUGAAGGAACGUUGAAGACGACGACGUUGAUAGGCCGGGUGUGUAAGCGCAGCGAUGCGUUGAGCUAACCGGUACUAAUGAACCGUGAGGCUUAACCUUACAACGCCGAAG
rnacentral:rRNA from 1 species